GAGAGGCUGGCGCGGGCAGGCGCCUCGCCAACCCGGUCAGGUCCGGAAGGAAGCAGCCGCAACGAGUCUCGCUUGGGUCGUGUUUCAGUCUCUCACC
rnacentral:SRP_RNA from 1 species